CCAAAAGAUAUAAAUUCUGAACUAAAAAUACCAUAGUAAACUUUUCAGUUAAAAGGAAUGACCUUUCAACGAAAAAUAGUUGAAUUUUGCUGGUUGGUUUUUUAUUAACAUAGUCAGAAUUUAAGUGUAAAACUAAAAAAAAAAGGGAAGCUGAGGAUUACAGUGGUUCAGAUUACGGUGUUUAAUUGCCCCUAUGCUGUAAGCUUCUCUUCAAAUCUGAUUUUCUUCGAGGAUGAUACAAAUUGAAGUAUGCGGAAUAUUUGUUUAAAU